rnacentral:tRNA from 1 species
GGGCCCAUAGCUCAGUUGGUUAGAGUAGAUGACUCAUAAUCAUUUGGUCGCCGGUUCGAGCCCGGCUGGGCCCACCA